CGUGUGUUUCAAGAAAUCCCAUCGGACAAUUGAACGAAAUGGCGGAGAAGAAUCGUUAGAAUAAUCAUCGCAGCUCAAAGUAAAGGCAUUUGUGGUGAAAACAAUGUACAAAUCCAGGAGUGAGACAGAUCCUUAAACACGGUUCAAAGCAGAAUUGCCGAGGCAGAAGAAUCAACGGGAGGAAGUUUUCAUCGACGAAGGGAAACGGAAGGAAAUGUGGCUGUUAGUUGUUCCGGCCGAAGCGGGAUGCAUCGAAGAGUGGCAACGGUGCGAGAAUUGGGGAAGAACGAGAAGUAAGAAGAACAAGCAACCCAAAGGGAGAAGGACGAAAAAACAGAGAUAAGAGAGAGAGAGAGAGAGAUGGCGUAGAGAAGCCAGCGGAAGGCGGAAAACAAGGGAAAAUAAAGCAGCGGAAGAAUCGCGUCGCAGGAAAAAGAAUGAGGGCGCUGUCAGCUGGUGGAAAUUAUUCUGAUUAUGCUAAUUCCGGUUCUGUUCCACUCCUUUACCCAGCCGUCCCCCAGACCCAUUGCCUCCCUGCUGCUGUCUGCGCCAUCUUUCAUGGCUGAUAUUUAUAAUAUAGGGGUGCUCGAGCAGUUUCAAACUCUUUUUGGCCCCCGAGCUCGCAACCCCCCUCCCCACCCUCGACCAUCAUUUGGCCCUCCAUCGAGAACCACCCCACGGCACGCUCCACUGUCUUCGGGCUUUUCGAUAAAUUUAUUCAUAUUCCAAGGAAAAUUUCGUCGCUAGUCUCGAGAGAACUCGGUCAACUAGAGCCUGUGGUCCCGCGGCACUCGAGCUUAGCCGCGAUUUACCUUUGAGAAUCUAACCGCGACGACUUUGUUAGCCCAGCAUUGUGAAAACAGAGCCAUUACAGAUGGAGGAGGAG